UUUUUCAAGGCAGCUGUCACGCAUCACCCGCAAAUCGCAACGGCAUCAACAUGCGCAGCUUCGUUCUUCGUUUGGCAUUGCUUCUUGUCGUGGUGGCCGUGUUGACAUCGGCUCGACGGGACCAUGGCAGCUACGACUACGACGUUGCUGAAGGGACCAAACCUGUGAGGGGUAGAGCUCAGACCAGGCCUAACCAAUGGGGAUCUCCUCAGCAUACUCAUGCAAGAACUGGACGUCGUUUCAGUAACCUAAAUGCUACUGAAGAAGAGCCUGAACCUGAACCUCACCCAACGCUGCAAGGAGAUGCCGGAGAAGUUCCAGAACCCGAACGUCCUCGUGGUCGGUUCAGGCCUAAGCAUUCGGGGAAUAGGAAUCCUCCAGGAACUGUUAGGAGCCCAAACCCUCCACGUUCUAGGGCUUCACAAAUAACUUACGAAUAAUAUGAAACUAUGCCUGCUUCAUCACAUAUGAUUAACACACUGAACGUGUCUUUUGAGACGUUAAUUACGAAUUUUUUUUAUAAAUAUCAUCCGGCGGUCGUUGUCCCGCGUAAAAACAGCUCCAGCAACGAAGCCACGCAAUACAGCGUAAAUCUUUUAGGUUAAACCAAACUAGAUACAACGAAUUAUCAUAAUCAAAAGCUGAUACUAAUAAUUCAAUGUCAAGAAUACUGUGUUUAGUUCAUUUAUAACAAAAUAUUGUCGAAAUGUUUGAUCUAACCGAAAUAUGACGAAUAGAAACUUUUUUUGAAUCUGAAACAAUAAACUGAGUUUCGCUUCUAGAUUGGAAGGUUCACAUAAUUAUGCCUGAAACACCAAAUAUCGUUUUAGUUAUUUUCCUCCUCCCGUUUAUGUUUUUCGGUUCUUGUUUAUUCAGAUUAAUUGAUUAUAUUUAUAUGGUAAUCAA